rnacentral:misc_RNA from 1 species
AGCAGGGAUUAAUAAAUUCAAGGCACAAGGUAACCAGUCACAGAAUUCAUAAUGACAGUAUCUUUCAUUCUUCAUCACACAUUUCACACCAUGGGGAGUAGAUUUUGGUUUUAAUUGAAAAACCAAACUGAAGCGAUCUAAUUCAGUUAUUCAGUUCGAUAUCACUUAUCGUUUUAAAAAAUUUCAGUUUUUCAGUUCAAUUCAGUUAGUUACGCAGAAAACCUGAACUAACCAAACAGAAAUAUUAUA